rnacentral:rRNA from 1 species
GAUGAACGCUGGCGGCGUGCCUAAUACAUGCAAGUCGAGCGAACAGAUAAGGAGCUUGCUCCUUUGACGUUAGCGGCGGACGGGUGAGUAACACGUGGGUAACCUACCUAUAAGACUGGAAUAACUCCGGGAAACCGGGGCUAAUGCCGGAUAACAUUUAGAACCGCAUGGUUCUAAAGUGAAAGAUGGUUUUGCUAUCACUUAUAGAUGGACCCGCGCCGUAUUAGCUAGUUGGUAAGGUAACGGCUUACCAAGGCAACGAUACGUAGCCGACCUGAGAGGGUGAUCGGCCACACUGGAACUGAGACACGGUCCAGACUCCUACGGGAGGCAGCAGUAGGGAAUCUUCCGCAAUGGGCGAAAGCCUGACGGAGCAACGCCGCGUGAGUGAUGAAGGUCUUCGGAUCGUAAAACUCUAUUAUUAGGGAAGAACAAAUGUGUAAGUAACUGUGCACGUCUUGACGGUACCUAAUCAGAAAGCCACGGCUAACUACGUG